GUGGGCUCGAGCUCACUCCCAACCCCUGUGACAUACCACUUGUUGCCUCGGCGGAUCAGCCCGCUCCCGGUAAAACGGGACGGCCCGCCAGAGGACCCCUAAACUCUGUUUCUAUAUGUAACUUCUGAGUAAAACCAUAAAUAAAUCAAAACUUUCAACAACGGAUCUCUUGGUUCUGGCAUCGAUGAAGAACGCAGCAAAAUGCGAUAAGUAAUGUGAAUUGCAGAAUUCAGUGAAUCAUCGAAUCUUUGAACGCACAUUGCGCCCGCCAGUAUUCUGGCGGGCAUGCCUGUUCGAGCGUCAUUUCAACCCUCAAGCACAGCUUGGUGUUGGGACUCGCGUUAAUUCGCGUUCCCCAAAUUGAUUGGCGGUCACGUCGAGCUUCCAUAGCGUAGUAGUAAAACCCUCGUUACUGGUAAUCGUCGCGGCCACGCCGUUAAACCCCAACUUCUGAAUGUUGACCUCGGAUCAGGUAGGAAUACCCGCUGAACUUAAGCAUAUCAAUAAGCGGAGGAAA
rnacentral:rRNA from 1 species